UAGCAUGCAGCUUGGCAGCCCUUG
rnacentral:misc_RNA from 1 species